rnacentral:rRNA from 1 species
GACGAACGCUGGCGGCGUGCUUAACACAUGCAAGUCGAACGGAAAGGCCCUGCUUUUGUGGGGUGCUCGAGUGGCGAACGGGUGAGUAACACGUGAGUAACCUGCCCUUGACUUUGGGAUAACUUCAGGAAACUGGGGCUAAUACCGGAUAGGAGCUCCUGCUGCAUGGGGGGGGUUGGAAAGUUUCGGCGGUUGGGGCUGGACUCGCGGCUUAUCAGCUUGUUGGUGGGGUAGUGGCUUACCAAGGCUUUGACGGGUAGCCGGCCUGAGAGGGUGACCGGCCACAUUGGGACUGAGAUACGGCCCAGACUCCUACGGGAGGCAGCAGUGGGGAAUAUUGCACAAUGGGCGGAAGCCUGAUGCAGCAACGCCGCGUGCGGGAUGACGGCCUUCGGGUUGUAAACCGCUUUCGCCUGUGACGAAGCGUGAGUGACGGUAAUGGGUAAAGAAGCACCGGCUAACUACGUG